rnacentral:tRNA from 1 species
AGUCCUGUGGUGAAAUUCAUAAUGAGUUGCAAACUCAUAGAUGUACAUUGAAUGUGUACCGGGACUU